UGCAGUCGACGGAAGGCCCAGCUUGCUGGGUACUCGAGUGGCGAACGGGUGAGUAACACGUGGGUGAUCUGCCCUGCACUCUGGGAUAAGCCUGGGAAACUGGGUCUAAUACCGGAUAUGACCAACUGUCGCAUGGUGGUUGGUGGAAAGCUUUUGCGGUGUGGGAUGGGCCCGCGGCCUAUCAGCUUGUUGGUGGGGUAAUGGCCUACCAAGGCGACGACGGGUAGCCGACCUGAGAGGGUGAUCGGCCACACUGGGACUGAGACACGGCCCAGACUCCUACGGGAGGCAGCAGUGGGGAAUAUUGCACAAUGGGCGGAAGCCUGAUGCAGCGACGCCGCGUGAGGGAUGACGGCCUUCGGGUUGUAAACCUCUUUCACCAGGGACGAAGCGUGAGUGACGGUACCUGGAGAAGAAGCACCGGCCAACUACGUGCCAGCAGCCGCGGUAAUACGUAGGGUGCGAGCGUUGUCCGGAAUUACUGGGCGUAAAGAGCUCGUAGGCGGUUUGUCGCGUCGUCUGUGAAAUUCUGCAACUCAAUUGCAGGCGUGCAGGCGAUACGGGCAGACUUGAGUACUACAGGGGAGACUGGAAUUCCUGGUGUAGCGGUGAAAUGCGCAGAUAUCAGGAGGAACACCGGUGGCGAAGGCGGGUCUCUGGGUAGUAACUGACGCUGAGGAGCGAAAGCGUGGGUAGCGAACAGGAUUAGAUACCCUGGUA
rnacentral:rRNA from 1 species